GCUCAUCCUGCACCUCUCACCCACGGGAGCCGGUGCUGGGCCGGGCAGCACCGAGGGACCCGGUGGGCUCAGCCCCCCCCGUGGGAGCCGGCGCUGGGCCGGGCAGGAGCGGGACGGGGUGUCGGCAGGAGGGCAGCUCCCGCAGCGCAGCGGGGGCUCUGGGGGGCUCGCCUGGCACUGCGCUCGCCCGUUACCUCCCGGUACGUUUUUAACCACUUAGAAGUGUCCUGCCUGCCUCGGGAGUCUCCAGGACGGAGGUGUUCCAGCCGGCGCGAACGUUUGAGCCGCGCCUCAUCCACGAUGCAGAAAAUCUCCAGCGCUUGGGCGUGCGGGAUGGAGCAGGAACUUCUUCCAGAUUUAGCUGUGCAAAAGCAAGCCCUUCCUGACGAGAGCUCGGCUUAUUAUGAUUAGUCUGAGAAUCACGGGGGUUUGGGACAACUUACCUACAGUUCCCAUUUGUGCUUGGGCACAGCUUUAAUUAAACUUCUGGAAUUACCAAAGCGAUCAAAUUUGUUGCCACCAAAUUCAUAAGACCACCAGGGACUUGAAAUGAAUUUUAUUAAGAAAUUCAGUUUUAUACCGUAUCGUAGAAGGGACGCUGCUUUGGAAAUGGAGUUGAUACUGGCAUUUUGCCUUUAGAUUUCUUAUCCAGAUGAAUUAAUUCGGGAAACCCAUGAAAUAAUGUUUGGUAUUUUUGUCCAGUGCUCCUUCUAAAGACAUCUUCAGCUGUUGGGUUUUAUUGUUCUUCACUAACGGAGCUGAAAAGGGGGUCUCGCUGCUGGAUUUCUCUACGCCGUAAUUUUUAAAAGUUAUUUGCUAGGUGACCUCAGCGGCACGCCGCACAGCUGGAAGGUUUCUGUCUCCACAGCCCGGCGAGGGGCUGGCCUGCACUGAGAGAGCUUCCCUGCCGCUGGCGUUGCGUCCCACCGCCCGUGGGAAUCGCCCCUUGUCCCCGGAGCUGCCAGCGCGUCCGUGGUUGAGUGUCGGGUAAGCGGCGCCGAGGCCGGGCCUGGAAGGGGCAGCUCCCUCGCUCAGCUGCAGGCCAGGAGGCCCAGGGGCUGCCCGGCCUCCCGAAAGCCGCCGCGACAGAACCCGGGGGGAGCAGGAAAAGCAGCUUCUCCUUGAUGUGUCUGCGGCCUGUGCCUCCUGCGCGCCUGGCGCGCUGAGGAGCAGAAGGUGGGGUGUGGUAAUGGUAGGUUUUGGUUUGGGAUCCCACCUUCUCCUGGGAUAGGAGGAGGGGAUUUUGCAGGCACAAGAUUGUAAGUAGAAAAGGCUUGUGAUCUUCGAAAGCCACAAUCGAUCCUUUUUCUUUUUUUUUUUUUUUUGUUUUGUUUUGUUUUGUUUUGUUUUCCCCCCGCUCUGAGAAAAAUGUUGCAUUUCAUUCACUUGGCUGCAGGUUCCCAUUUCUCUGGAACCUGCUGUAUGAAACACCAGUCCCUCUUUCGCAGUGGCUGGUUUUCGGGAUGGGCCCUGGGCGGGAGCGGGGCUUGGCGGGAGAAGGCGCUGGCGUUGGCGAUGGGGGGGCAGCUGAGAGGGAGAGGUGGGAGAGGAAAGGAUGGGUUGGCAGCAAAAAGGAGCUAGGUGGGAAGAGGAGCAGUUGGGAAAGGGGGUUUUAUUGAGAGAGGGUCAAGGAAGCGGAUGUGUGAUUUGGGUUUAUUUUUUAGAACUGAAAGGGUUGUAAAGGAUCUUGGGACGACAAGGGGUGGGGGGAAGGUGGUUGUAGUUGCAGAGGUGCCGCUUCGCAACGCGCUGCUGUGGCUUUGUUCUGUUCUGCAAUAUUUGUAGGGUACACCCAGAGCGGGGUCCGGAUGAAUAAUGGAAGUCUGCGUAGUACGCUCGUGUUUAUGGAUGUCUGUUGCUCGGUUGUGCAGUUCUGGGACUUCGGAGUGAAGGCGGCGCUGGGUGGACGCCAGCCGGUGAUCGCUGGAGCCGGACUUCGGCCUUUGGGAGGACAGACGGCAGCGCUGAGCUGUAACCCACACCUGCGGGGCUGCUGCUGCGCAUACGGGCCCGGCUGACAGCUCGCACUGAGCGAGGGUAAAAACUGCAGCAGCUUGAAGACCCGCGGCUGAACUGCUGCCAUGUGCAAACCCAGUGUGAAGCCUUUCUUCUGCACGUCGCCCAAAGCUCUGCUGUGCGUUUCUGCUGUGCCACUGGGUUCACGCAGGGAGAAAAUCUCUUAAACCUCUCUUCCCACCGCAUCCCUUUGCUUCCAGCUCUGUCAGGCACAGCAGCGCACGCACUGAUGCUCACAAGUAGCUGUCUAUCAAAUGGCAACUAGUUGAAGGUUUCUGUGGGGAGUUUUGAGCCGCCAUAGGUUAUGUGCUGCUGCUGCAUUUGAUUUAGUUGCUUCCUGUUGCAAGCGCAGAGCGUUUGAGCAGCAAGGACUGAAGAUCAGGUGAGCUAAUCUACAAUUAAGUGGGUUUUAUUAUUUCCUAAUAGAAAUGAUUUUGAUAAAACAUGGGAAACUCAGCUCUAGCACGUUUCCUAGAUGAAAGCGUGUUUUCAAAAGAACGAUCUCCCUUGUGCUAUGUACCCGGAUAUUCUUAAAAACGUUUUUCAUGGUUACCUGCGUGUGAAAAAUCCUACGAACUCUGUAGCAAGUCACCUAAAAUAAAGCAGGUGACAUUUUGGCCUCACCAACACAGAUCCUUUCUUCUUGAAGCAUGACACAGAUUUCUUUAUGAGCGUCUGAUAAGAGUUAGUCUCGGGCCAGUUUUUCUCACCUUGAAUCUCCCUGGGAAGGGUCUCGUAUUCCCAAACUGAAGUCCCCAAGUGGAAAUCCUCUCUAGCAAAAUUCCUGUUGGGCUGCUUUGGAGCAGGGCUACAGCACCUGGGCUCUGCCCUUGCCGGGCUCUGCUUCCUGCCCCAGCCCAGGUGAGAGGAUCGCCCCCGCCAGCCGUUCUGGGCAGUGGCCCUUGGGCCUGGCAGAGCCAAUCCUGCUCCAGACCCGCGGCUUUUCGGAUAAGCGGUUUGACUUCAUCCUCCAAGCCCGUCUCCUUGCUGGCUUCGCUCUUGGAGAAGAGGCCGCCUCAGUGUCUCAGCCCUAGGACAGGUUCCCCGGGCUCGGGGACCACUGCUGUUGCCGCCUUCAGGGGACAGUUUCAGUCCCUUCCCUCUCUCUUUCGUGCUCUUGGCUUCUCCUGCAGGGACAGGGGGUGGCCUGGAGCCAGUGCUUUCAGCUCCCGUGUCCUGCUGCAGAGCAGCAGUUGCAUCGGGGGGGAAGCUGGAGGUGCAGGAGCAAUGGUGAUCUGCCUGCUGCCUCUGAGCCUUGCUGCUGCAGGGCUGCGGGUGGUAAAAAUGGGCUGUUUCGGCAGUUCCUUCCCAGCAUCUGCAAGGUGGGAGCCUCCAGCAGCCUUAUUCUGCUGUAUUUCACCUUUCCUCUGGGAAUCUCCCAUCCCAAGGCUGGUUGCAGCCUCUGGAGUCUUCUAGUGGCUGACAGCAGCAUCGGUUGGUCUCGCCGCUUUCUGCCUCCUCUACAAUUCCACCCCCAGGCCCAAGAGCGAAUGAAGCCCUGCAGGACUGAAACCUGUGCAGGGCACGUGGCUCUGCUGGGCUGCACAGCGCUCCGUCUGCCCUUGGCACCAGUGGUGGGUGGGGAGGGGGAUCGUGCUCAGCUGGAGACAUCCCUGUUGGCGUGGGCGCCUUCUGGCCACCACACUUUAAGUGUAAAUUAGUUGUAGAAAACUGCCUGGUCAAUAGAAAAGGGCUUCCCUGUCUGCUUUCUCUGGGGUCCCGGGUUGCUGUGUCUCUUCUGUAACAGCUUCUCUUCCCUGGUGGCAGCCAGCUGAGCCACUUGGUGCCAGGGACGGGCCUGUCACCCUUGCUCUCAGCGGCAGGUUUGAACUGCCACUGGUCAUCCUGAGGUGCUGCCUGUCCCUUUCCUCACUCCUUCCUCACCAUGCUCACCCUCCUUCAGCUGUCAGCGGUUGGGUUGUGGCAGGUGAAACCUUUCCAAAGCAGUUGGCCUUGAAAUGCUGAAAUGAAAGCAUUUUGAUUGGGGCAGCUCCUCUGUUAAUCUGCCUGGUAGCUGGGAGCCUCACCCAAGGUGUCAGGGCUCUGGUCCAAGCCGUGGAUGGGGAAGCCUGGCUGUGGCUGUCAGGAUAAAGGAGCUGCGGUGGCAACCUGAUGUGUUUGGAAAGGCACGAGGUGCUUUCCUAGAAAAGCUCUGCGGCUUUUUCUCGCUAGACAUAAGCUUUUUUUCUAACCUUCAUGCAAGUGUAGUCAGAGGCAGCUGUGUUACUGCAAGGAGAUGAGGCGUUGGGUUUUCAGUAGUCAGAAUCCAUUAAACAAACCCACCUCCGGAUCAUUUCCUACCCCACAGAGUGCCCAAGGUCGCUGCUGUAAGAGAGGAUUCCUUGUGCCAAGCAUUGGGCCAGUACCUGUGAAGAAACAGCCCUGAGGACUUGCUUUAAACAGCCUAAAUGUGCAAAUAAUUUGAAAAUAGUGGAAAUCCCACUGAAGCUUGCUGGAUGUAUUAUCUGCACCAUUCUGCAGGUAAAAUAUUUGUACUUCAGUGGGGAACUGGCAAUCGGUUCUCCUGUAGAUCUUUGCAGUGCAGAUGCUUUGAUUCAUCAGCCCUGCAGCCCAGCUGUGCCAAAAAAAAAAAAAAAAAAUCCCCAAGCCUUCCUCUGUGCUUCUCUGUCUCUGCUGGAAAGGCAGGCGGUGCCCCUUGGUUCGUGCUGUGCUACCAGCCUGGAGGGGCUGCUCGGGUGUAGUGACUGCUGUGGGGUGGCUCCCCCUCCGCCUGAGGGGGGGAAAUAACUGCUCGCAAUAAGAACAGAAGGGUUGUAUUUUUUUCUUGUCAGGAAACUAAAGAAAUGACACGUCAAAACAGACAAAAAGCUGAGAAAUUAGUAUUCAUCAAGCUGCACCUCAGUCCAGAAUACAAUCGUGCUUUCCUGAUUUUCCACGUGACUUUUCUUCAGUUGCCCUGUUAGGGAAAGGUUGAUACCAGCCCCUACAAAUGUUAAGGAAAGAAACAUGGAAUAUCAACCAUUAGUAAAAUCCCUUUCGUGUUUCUGCACUUCUGAUUUUAGAAACCUGUCCCCAAUUCACCUGUACAAAUAAGACAGGUCUCUGUUAGAGCCGGACGGUGUCCUCAGCCUCUUGAGAGGGCAGCCUGUGGCCACUGGCACUGCAUCCUGCGCUCUCCCUGCAGAAGCCAAGCAGAAAUGGUAGAGCUGAUGAAACAAAUCUCUUUCUGAGAAUUGCCGCUGCUUCUGGAGUAAAGCUAAUGUUUGUGUUCAUCUUUGGAGCUGAGGACACCCUGCUGUCCUGCUCUUGAGGUUGCAGAAACCGAUUCUGCUUAAAUAAUGCAAGCCCUCCCUCCUCACUCCGCCCUUAGGGUGUGGAGCGGGGAGGAUUGCAAACACAGAACAGCAGAAUUUUAUUUUCCGCAGUGAUGCUGCGAGGGCAGUUAGAAGCAGCAAGCCUUGGCCUUUGAUUUGUGAGCUGGAAAUCGUUUCAAAAAUCUGAAUUUCAGAAUCAAAAGGCCUGACCGUUUUUAUCCUGAAGAUGUUCCUCAGGACUCGCGUGUGUUUCCCUCCCCAUCGGCCCGAGGCAGGGUGGAAGGGAGCGAGUCUUCCCCAUCCUCGCCACGAGGACUCCCCAGGCAGCGUUUUCCUUGGGCUCCGGACUGGAGACGGGGAGAGGGGGUUCCCGGAAUGAUGGCUUCCCUCAGGAAAGCUGCCACAGCUGAAAUCUUGUGCUUUAGCUGCCUGUACAGUUGCCAGGUCCAUUUAGUGCAUAAUUCAUUUUGCUCUCAGGGAUAUGCAGAGGGGUUUUAUGAAUGCUAAAUUAUGUAAACAACGGUUUGAUUCUUUCUGUCUGUUCCAGGAUGGAAACGUUAAUAGAAGAGCAGGGGGACGCUGAAACCAGGUACACGUACGGUCAUCUCACAACUGUUCAGGAUGAAGACCAGUUCUCCUUCGGUCAGCCCGACUGCGUUAUCUCGCCGGCCAACCUGGGCUGGGUCUGACCUGUGACACCCUCUCUCCUCCUUGCCAGCAGCAGCGAAUGCGUCUUCCAGACCAGCAGCAUACGGACGAGCUCAGAGAAAGCACUGACGCUUUUGUGGGCGAAAGAAAAAUGAACCAUUUAUUUCUUAAUGUAAAGCAGAGCCCUCUCUCAUUGUGCAUUAAUAAAUAGUUGGCAGGAAUAAAACCGUAAAGCAGAUGCUGAAGAGAAAGGGAUUAAA